rnacentral:rRNA from 1 species
GGAGUCUGGACCGUGUCUCAGUUCCAGUGUGGCUGAUCAUCCUCUCAGACCAGCUAGAGAUCGUCGCCUUGGUAGGCCGUUACCCCACCAACUAGCUAAUCCCACCUGGGCGCAUCUGAAUGUGACCGUAUCCGGUCUUUCCCCCUCAGGGUAUACGCGGUAUUAGCACCCGUUUCCAGGUGUUAUCCCCCUCAUUCAGGCAGCUUCCCAGGCAUUACUCACCCGUCCGCCACUCGUCAUCAAGAAAGCAAGCUUUCUCAUGUUACCGUUCGACUUGCAUGUAUUAAGCCUGCCGCCAGCGUUCAAU